GAGAUCCAAAUGAAUAGAAAGAUUCAUGUUCAGUUUGGGAAGAGAUUAUGAAUUCGUGAAAUUUUUGAAUAGAUAAUCUACUUUCAU
rfam:Picea glauca, whole genome shotgun sequence.